GCACUGCUGAACAGUCCCACAAUAGGACGAAACGGCCGUCCAGUGC
rfam:Schistosoma curassoni strain Dakar, Senegal genome assembly, scaffold: SCTD_scaffold0003343